GCAAUUUAAAAAGACAUCCUGCUGUCCUACAUUUAAUAGCUAGACACACAUACCAUUGGAGCUUAGAAAUUCCACAGAGGAAAUGGACCAGCACCUAAAGAGGUGUGGAUGUUCUGCAUGAGGCCCAGAAAAUAAGUGACACUUCAAGAAGAUGGUAGCAACCGCCUGUUGUCAGUUACUGUGACUUUAUCUAGAUUCAGAAGGCUCAGGGAAACAGUGGAGCUCAUCAGCAGGAAGAGAAAGAAGUGGAAUGUUAAGUUAUUGAGAAGUAUAUGCCAUUCAAGAUCAGAAAAGUUUAUUUUUAUCAUAUACCAUACACAGUCUGAUCACCUGAGACAUUGGAGAGAAUGCAAUUUGUCAAGGGAUUCAUGAUUAUAAGCAAUAUUUCCAUUUUCACAAGAUUUUUUGAUGAGUGAAUUUUGAAAUCAUAUUUAUAUAAAUGAACAAUAAAGGAGGUAUUUAAGACUA